rnacentral:rRNA from 1 species
UACAGAGGCUCCGAGCGUUAUCCGGAUUUAUUGGGCGUAAAGCGUCCGCAGGUGGAAUAGUGCGUCUGUCGUUAAAUACUAGGGCUCAACCCUAGUGCCGCGGCAGAUACGGCUAUUCUCGAGGUAGGUAGAGGUUAAGGGAACUUAUGGUGAAGCGGUGAAAUGCGUUGAUAUGAUAGGGAACACCAAUAGCGAAGGCACUUAACUGGUCCUAUCCUGACACUCAUGGACGACAGCGUGGGGAGCGAAGCGG